rnacentral:rRNA from 1 species
UGAACCAGCGGGUGGGGACAUUACCGAGUUUACAACUCCCAAACCCUUAUGUGAACCGUACCUAUCGUUGCUUCGGCGGGAACGCCCCGGCGCCCUGCGCCCGGAUCCAGGCGCCCGCCGGAGACCCCAAACUCUUGUGUUUUUUUCAGUAUUCUCUGAGUGGCAAACGCAAAAAUAAAUCAAAACUUUUAACAACGGAUCUCUUGGCUCUGGCAUCGAUGAAGAACGCAGCGAAAUGCGAUAAGUAAUGUGAAUUGCAGAAUUCAGUGAAUCAUCGAAUCUUUGAACGCACAUUGCGCCCGUUAGCAUUCUAGCGGGCAUGCCUGUCCGAGCGUCAUUUCAACCCUCAGGGUCCCCGUUCCGGCGGGGAACCUGGUGUUGGGGGAUCGGCCCGCCCCGCGCGGCGCCGUCCCCCAAAUUCAGUGGCGGUCUCGCUGCAGCCUCCCCUGCGUAGUAGUUACAACCUCGCAUCGGAGCUCAGCGCGGCCACGCCGUAAAACCCCCGACUUUCUGAACGUUGACCUCGGAUCAGGUAGGAAUACCCGCUGAACUUAAGCAUAUAUAAG